UGGCGGACGGGUGAGUAAUGUCUGGGAAACUGCCCGAUGGAGGGGGAUAACUACUGGAAACGGUAGCUAAUACCGCAUAACGUCGCAAGACCAAAGAGGGGGACCUUAGGGCCUCUUGCCAUCGGAUGUGCCCAGAUGGGAUUAGCUAGUAGGUGGGGUAAUGGCUCACCUAGGCGACGAUCCCUAGCUGGCCUGAGAGGAUGACCAGCCACACUGGAACUGAGACACGGUCCAG
rnacentral:rRNA from 1 species